UUUGAAACAGUGAAUUAGGAUGUUGGUGUGUCGGUGGUGCAUAGCGGAGAUUCUCAGCCUGGGGCGCGUGACUACGAACCUCAAACGGUGCAUGCUGCACAGAAACUUCGCUACAAUAGAGAGUACACAGCGACUAGUACAUCCACACUGGUUUUAAGAAUACAGAAGCUGCGCCGACAUCGGAGAGCGUAUACAGCUUGUUUACUAUCCAUAUUGGUUCAAUCACGUUAAAACUAAAGCGAGUGCAUACAGCUUGUAUCUCAUCCACACUGGUUUUAAGAAUGUAAGUUAAGUUCGCUGUGUUUACAUAGCAAUACAAAUUGUUGCUUUUAAAAUCAGGCAUCUGACUUUCCUCCUAUAUGCCAUUGUUUCCAUAGUUAGCGACUAGAGCAUCUGCAGCUCACGGUAACCAGGUGACUGCAGUUUCCCAUCUAAAGUGAGGUAUGCCUCAAUUUUGGCGUGA